UACGAAGGGGGCUAGCGUUGCUCGGAAUCACUGGGCGUAAAGCGCACGUAGGCGGAUUGUUAAGUCAGGGGUGAAAUCCUGGAGCUCAACUCCAGAACUGCCUUUGAUACUGGCGAUCUUGAGUCCGGGAGAGGUGAGUGGAACUCCGAGUGUAGAGGUGAAAUUCGUAGAUAUUCGCAAGAACACCAGUGGCGAAGGCGGCUCACUGGCCCGAUACUGACGCUGAUGCACGAAAGCGUGGGGAGCAAACAGG
rnacentral:rRNA from 1 species